rnacentral:lncRNA from 1 species
AACUCAUCUUUACAAAACUCAAAAUUUGCUCCACAUUGUCUUAGGUCUAUUAAUUUUUUAUGUGAGUUUCGUUUGAGUGCGCUAGACUAGUCAGUUUUUUAUUUUUUUUUUCAUCUCUUCAAAUUUUUCUUGAACUUAAUAUUCUCUAAUUGUUGAAUGUUAACACGAAAUGAAGAUUUAUAAUCAAAUUUAUUGCACAUGUGACAUAAUUUUAUUGAGUGUUGAUCUCGCAUACGUUUCAGAAGAUAACCUAUAAGUUUUUGGGAGAAAUAAGAGUUCACAAGUCAAAGUAGAACGAAUUUUGAAUUUCAAAAAGUAAAAUGAUGAGUUUUCUAGUUACAUGAGAUAAAAGUGAGAUAAAAAUGAAAUUUCAGACAGUGUAACCAAAAAUAAGCCUCUUUUUAACUACAGCAAUGGAUUGUUGCAGGGGCUGGGAGGUGAAAUUUCGAGUGGAUUUAAUCAACAAAAGCUGGAUCAUCGACAAAACUCGAAAACAUUUGACUAAUCCUCAUGCAAACAUAAAUGACAAAUUACACUUUGCAUUCCCCAAAUAAUCUCGGUUUAGGAUGUUGAUCUACGUAGCAAAAGCAAUAACAUGUUGAUUCUAUAUUAACCACGAGCAUCAGCAACAUAAAAGCAGACAGGGGAGAAAAUAGUUCACGAAGCCGGUGGAGUACUAAAACCCUUCGCCGGAAACCUAAUAGGAACACUAGAUUGCCUACAUAUGAAAAAAAAAUGGGUGCAAAACCUACCAUCUGAAUCAUAUUCAAUCCCUAUCGGUGAUUAGAACAGACUAAUAUCACGUCAAUGCCAUGCCCCAAUCUCGAUCGCAUUCAGGCUCACCAGAGGGACUGGAACAAAUGACCAGCAUUUCAGACACAACCCAACCCAAAAUGGAAAAUGCAGUUAGAUUAUCCCAUCAUACAAAAUGAACUCAGAUCCUAACUCUCUCAGCGCAACAUCGCUGAUCAAGCAUAUACCUCAAAACCCCAAAACACAAC